UACAGGGGGUGCUAGCGUUGUUCGGAAUUACUGGGCGUAAAGGGUGCGUAGGCGGGUCUUUAAGUCAGAGGUGAAAUCCUGGAGCUCAACUCCAGAACUGCCUUUGAUACUGAAGGUCUUGAGUUCGGGAGAGGUGAGUGGAACUGCGAGUGUAGAGGUGAAAUUCGUAGAUAUUCGCAAGAACACCAGUGGCGAAGGCGGCUCACUGGCCCGAUACUGACGCUGAGGCACGAAAGCGUGGGGAGCAAACAGG
rnacentral:rRNA from 1 species